GGUUAAGUGACUAAGCGUACAUGGUGGAUGCCUUGGCAGUCAGAGGCGAUGAAGGACGUACUAACCUGCGAUAAGCUGUGAGAAGUCGGUAAGAGACGCUAUUACUCACAGAUUUCCGAAUGGGGAAACCCACCCAAGAUAACUUGGGUAUCGUUACAUGAAUACAUAGUGUAACGAGGCGAACCGGGAGAACUGAAACAUCUAAGUACCCCGAGGAAAAGAAAUCAACCGAGAUUCCCUCAGUAGCGGCGAGCGAACGGGGAUUAGCCCUUAAGCAUCUUGGAAGUUAGUGGAACGGUCCUGGAAAGGCCGGCGAUACAGGGUGAUAGCCCCGUACACGAAAACAACCUUGAUGUGAAAUCGAGUAGGGCGGGACACGUGACAUCCUGUCUGAAUAUGGGGGGACCAUCCUCCAAGGCUAAAUACUCCUGACUGACCGAUAGUGAACCAGUACCGUGAGGGAAAGGCGAAAAGAACCCCUGUGAGGGGAGUGAAAUAGAACCUGAAACCGUGUACGUACAAGCAGUGGGAGCCCUUCGGGGUGACUGCGUACCUUUUGUAUAAUGGGUCAGCGACUUACAUUUUGUAGCGAGGUUAACCGUAUAGGGGAGCCGUAGGGAAACCGAGUCUUAACUGGGCGUCUAGUUGCAAGGUGUAGACCCGAAACCGGGUGAUCUAGCCAUGGGCAGGUUGAAGGUUGAGUAACAUCAACUGGAGGACCGAACCCACUAACGUUGCAAAGUUAGGGGAUGACCUGUGGCUGGGGGUGAAAGGCCAAUCAAACUCGGAGAUAGCUGGUUCUCCCCGAAAGCUAUUUAGGUAGCGCCUCGGACGAAUACUACUGGGGGUAGAGCACUGUUUGGGCUAGGGGGUCAUCCCGACUUACCAACCCCAUGCAAACUCCGAAUACCAGUAAGUAAUAUCCGGGAGACACACGGCGGGUGCUAACGUCCGUCGUGAAGAGGGAAACAACCCAGACCGCCGGCUAAGGUCCCAAAGUUCUGGUUAAGUGGGAAACGAUGUGGGAAGGCUCAGACAGCUAGGAUGUUGGCUUAGAAGCAGCCAUCAUUUAAAGAAAGCGUAAUAGCUCACUAGUCGAGUCGGCCUGCGCGGAAGAUGUAACGGGGCUCAAACCAGGCACCGAAGCCGCGGAUUCACACUUAUGUGUGAGUGGUAGGGGAGCGUUCUGUAAGUCUGCGAAGGUGUAUCGAGAGGUAUGCUGGAGAUAUCAGAAGUGCGAAUGCUGACGUAAGUAACGAUAAAGGGGGUGAAAAGCCUCCUCGCCGGAAGACCAAGGGUUCCUGUCCAACGUUAAUCGGGGCAGGGUGAGUCGACCCCUAAGGCGAGGCCGAAAGGCGUAGUCGAUGGGAAGCAGGUUAAUAUUCCUGCACGACUUGUAAUUGCGAUGGGGGGACGGAGAAGGCUAGGUGGGCCAGGCGACGGUUGUCCUGGUGAAAGUGCGUAGGUGGUGUUUCUAGGCAAAUCCGGAGACACAACACUGAGACACGAGACGAACACACUACGGUGUGGAAGCCAUUGAUGCCCUGCUUCCAGGAAAAGCCUCUAAGCUUCAGAUUACAAGUCAUCGUACCCCAAACCGACACAGGUGGUCGGGUAGAGAAUACCAAGGCGCUUGAGAGAACUCGGGUGAAGGAACUAGGCAAAAUAGAACCGUAACUUCGGGAGAAGGUUCGCUCUUGAUGGUGAAGUCCCUUGCGGAUGGAGCUGUCGGGAGUCGCAGUGACCAGAUGGCUGGGACUGUUUAUCAAAAACACAGCACUCUGCAAACACGAAAGUGGACGUAUAGGGUGUGACACCUGCCCGGUGCCGGAAGGUUAAUUGAUGGGGUUAGCGCAAGCGAAGCUCUUGAUCGAAGCCCCGGUAAACGGCGGCCGUAACUAUAACGGUCCUAAGGUAGCGAAAUUCCUUGUCGGGUAAGUUCCGACCUGCACGAAUGGUGUAACCAUGGCCAUGCUGUCUCCACCCGAGACUCAGUGAAAUCGAAUUCGCCGUGAAGAUGCGGUGUACCCGCGGCUAGACGGAAAGACCCCGUGAACCUUUACUACAGCUUGGCACUGAACAUUGAACCUACAUGUGUAGGAUAGGUGGGAGGCUUUGAAGGCGUGACGCCAGUUGCGCUGGAGCCGUCCUUGAAAUACCACCCUUGUAUGUUUGAUGUUCUAACGCAGGGCCCUGAAUCGGGCUCGCGGACAGUGCCUGGUGGGUAGUUUGACUGGGGCGGUCUCCUCCCAAAGAGUAACGGAGGAGCACGAAGGUUGGCUAAUCCUGGUCGGACAUCAGGAGGUUAGUGCAAUGGCAUAAGCCAGCUUAACUGCGAGACGGACAGGUCGAGCAGGUACGAAAGUAGGUCAUAGUGAUCCGGUGGUUCUGAAUGGAAGGGCCAUCGCUCAACGGAUAAAAGGUACUCCGGGGAUAACAGGCUGAUACCGCCCAAGAGUUCAUAUCGACGGCGGUGUUUGGCACCUCGAUGUCGGCUCAUCACAUCCUGGGGCUGAAGUCGGUCCCAAGGGUAUGGCUGUUCGCCAUUUAAAGUGGUACGCGAGCUGGGUUCAGAACGUCGUGAGACAGUUCGGUCCCUAUCUGCCGUGGGCGUUGGAUGAUUGAAGGGAGUUGCUCCUAGUACGAGAGGACCGGAGUGAACGAACCUCUGGUGUUCGGGUUGUCACGCCAGUGGCACUGCCCGGUAGCUAAGUUCGGAAUCGAUAACCGCUGAAAGCAUCUAAGCGGGAAGCGAGCCCUGAGAUGAGUCAUCCCUGACCCCUUGAGGGUCCUAAAGGGCCGUUGGAGACCACAACGUUGAUAGGUGGGGUGUGUAAGCGCGGCGACGUGUUGAGCUAACCCAUACUAAUUACCCGUGAGGCUUAACCAU
rnacentral:rRNA from 1 species